rnacentral:rRNA from 1 species
CCUACGGGAGGCAGCAGUGGGGAAUAUUGCACAAUGGGCGAAAGCCUGAUGCAGCAACGCCGCGUGAGCGAUGAAGGCCUUCGGGUCGUAAAGCUCUGUCCUCAAGGAAGAUAAUGACGGUACUUGAGGGGGAAGCCCCGGGUAACUACGUGCCAGCAGCCCCGGUAGUACGUAGGCGGCUAGCGUUAUCCGGAAUUACUGGGCGUAAAGGGUGUGUAGGUGGUUUUUUAAGUCAUAGGGGAAAUGCUACGGCUCAAACGUAGUAAGCCUUUGAAACUGGGGAACUUGAGUGCAGGAGAGGAGAGUGGAAUUCGUGGUGUAGCGGUGAAAUGCGUAGAUAUUAGGAGGAACACCAGUUGCGAAGGCGGCUCUCUGGACUGUAACUGACACUGAGGCACGAAAGCGUGGGGAGCAAACAGGAGUAGAUACCCUAGUAGUC